GAUGAAGAACGUAGCGAAAUGCGAUAAGUAAUGUGAAUUGCAGAAUUUAGUGAAUCAUCGAAUCUUUGAACGCACCUUGCGCCUUUUGGUAUUCCGAAAGGCACACCUGUUUGAGCGUCAUGAAUACCUCAAUCUCCAUCUUUUCUUCGGAUUGAUGGGUGACUUGGAUGUUGAGCCCUGCUGGUAUGCUAUAUCAGCUGGCUUUAAACUUAUUAGCCGGCUCUGUACUGGAUCGGUUUGACUCGACGUGAUAAUAUUAUCGUUGAGGAUGCAUGUCUCAUGCAGCCGGAAAGUAUCAAAGCAGCUUCUAGCUUGCCUUUAGUGCACUUUUACAUUUUAGACCUCAGAUCAGGUGGGACUACCCGCUGAACUUAAGCAUAUCAAUAAGCGGAGGA
rnacentral:misc_RNA from 1 species